rnacentral:rRNA from 1 species
UGGGUUGUAAACCUCUUUUUUCAGGGAGGAAAAAAAUGACGUGUACCUGAAGAAUAAGCAUCGGCUAACUCCGUGCCAGCAGCCGCGGUAAGACGGAGGAUGCAAGUGUUAUCCCGGAAUUACUGGGCGUAAAGCGUCUGUAGGUUGUUUAAUAAGUCAACUGUUAAAAUCUUGAGGCUUAACUUCAAAAAGCAGUCGAAACUAUUAGACUAGAGUAUAGUAGGGGUAAAGGGAAUUUUCCCGUGGAGC